UACGAAGGGGGCUAGCGUUGCUCGGAAUCACUGGGCGUAAAGCGCGCGCAGGCGGUUCCUUAAGUCUGAUGUGAAAGCCCCCGGCUCAACCGGGGAGGGUCAUUGGAAACUGGGGAACUUGAGUACUGAAGAGGAAAGCGGAAUUCCACGUGUAGCGGUGAAAUGCGUAGAGAUGUGGAGGAACACCAGUGGCGAAGGCGGCUUUCUGGUCAGUAACUGACGCUGAGGCGCGAAAGCGUGGGGAGCGAACAGG
rnacentral:rRNA from 1 species